rnacentral:rRNA from 1 species
CCUGGCUCAGGACGAACGCUGGCGGCGUGCCUAAUACAUGCAAGUCGAGCGGACAGAAGGGAGCUUGCUCCCGGAUGUUAGCGGCGGACGGGUGAGUAACACGUGGGUAACCUGCCUGUAAGACUGGGAUAACUCCGGGAAACCGGAGCUAAUACCGGAUAGUUCCUUGAACCGCAUGGUUCAAGGAUGAAAGACGGUUUCGGCUGUCACUUACAGAUGGACCCGCGGCGCAUUAGCUAGUUGGUGGGGUAAUGGCUCACCAAGGCGACGAUGCGUAGCCGACCUGAGAGGGUGAUCGGCCACACUGGGACUGAGACACGGCCCAGACUCCUACGGGAGGCAGCAGUAGGGAAUCUUCCGCAAUGGACGAAAGUCUGACGGAGCAACGCCGCGUGAGUGAUGAAGGUUUUCGGAUCGUAAAGCUCUGUUGUUAGGGAAGAACAAGUGCGAGAGUAACUGCUCGCACCUGACGGUACCUACCAGAAAG